rnacentral:rRNA from 1 species
UACGUAGGGUGCGAGCGUUGUCCGGAAUUAUUGGGCGUAAAGAGCUCGUAGGCGGUUUGUCGCGUCUGCUGUGAAAACUGGAGGCUCAACCUCCAGCUUGCAGUGGGUACGGGCAAACUAGAGUGCGGUAGGGGAGAUUGGAAUUCCUGGUGUAGCGGUGGAAUGCGCAGAUAUCAGGAGGAACACCGAUGGCGAAGGCAGAUCUCUGGGCCGUAACUGACGCUGAGGAGCGAAAGCAUGGGGAGCGAACAGG